GAUGAACGCUGGCGGCGUGCCUAAUACAUGCAAGUCGAGCGAACAGACGAGAGUGCUUGCACUCUCUGACGUUAGCGGCGGACGGGUGAGUAACACGUGGGUAACCUACCUAUAAGACUGGGAUAACUUCGGGAAACCGGAGCUAAUACCGGAUAAUAUUUAGCUUCGCAUGAAGCAAUAGUGAAAGACGGUUCUGCUGUCACUUAUAGAUGGACCCGCGGUGUAUUAGCUAGUUGGUGAGGUAACGGCUCACCAAGGCAACGAUGCAUAGCCGACCUGAGAGGGUGAUCGGCCACACUGGGACUGAGACACGGCCCAGACUCCUACGGGAGGCAGCAGUAGGGAAUCUUCCGCAAUGGACGAAAGUCUGACGGAGCAAUGCCGCGUGAGUGAAGAAGGUUUUCGGAUCGUAAAACUCUGUUGUAAGGGAAGAACAAGUACGUUAGUAACUGAACGUACCUUGACGGUACCUUACCAGAAAGCCACGGCUAACUACGUG
rnacentral:rRNA from 1 species